CCUACGGGAGGCAGCAGUGGGGAAUCUUGCGCAAUGGGCGAAAGCCUGACGCAGCCAUGCCGCGUGAAUGAUGAAGGUCUUAGGAUUGUAAAAUUCUUUCACCGGGGACGAUAAUGACGGUACCCGGAGAAGAAGCCCCGGCUAACUUCGUGCCAGCAGCCGCGGUAAUACGAAGGGGGCUAGCGUUGCUCGGAAUUACUGGGCGUAAAGGGAGCGUAGGCGGAUAGUUUAGUCAGAGGUGAAAGCCCAGGGCUCAACCUUGGAAUUGCCUUUGAUACUGGCUAUCUUGAGUUUGGGAGAGGUGAGUGGAACUCCGAGUGUAGAGGUGAAAUUCGUAGAUAUUCGGAAGAACACCAGUGGCGAAGGCGACUCACUGGCCCAAUACUGACGCUGAGGCUCGAAAGCGUGGGGAGCAAACAGGAUUAGAUACCCUGGUAGUCCACGCCGUAAACGAUGAGUGCUAGUUGUCGGCAUGCAUGCAUGUCGGUGACGCAGCUAACGCAUUAAGCACUCCGCCUGGGGGNGGUACGGUCGCGAGAAGUAAACUACGUAAAGAAGUUAGUAGCGUUGAGAGNGCCGACGGACGACGACGAGGGAGGAGG
rnacentral:rRNA from 1 species